AAGAACGGGCAUUUUUACAAACACAAACAAAUGAAGAGCUGUAGAAAUGGAAACACAGGGCCUCAGAGGAACACAACUGCAGAAGCAGUGAGGGGCAACAGCUUAAACAGUACUCUGGAGCAUCAGACAAUAAAAGGCAGCACACCAGCUCAUGAGGCCACUCUGCCCAUCAGGUGAGGGACCUGCCCCAGUGGGAGUCACUGCUUCCCACCUUCUUCACCCUGGAUGUUGGCAGCAGCCACACUGGCUUCAGUGAGCCUCCUCCCUGCUCGUUUCUUCUCGUGCACAAUCCACUUGUCGUCUGAAACACUGCAGAGCUAAAUCAGGGAACAGAUUCUACAGGAAAACAGCAUUUUUUGGACUGGUUGUUUUUCAAGUGAACUGGAAUUGGUUCACUUGAGCCCAUUCAACAUGUAACUGAGCAAACAUCAUGUUCUCCAAACAGUGGAGAAGUGAGAGCAGGAAUAAAAUAAGGACCUGGGGCUGCUGAACGUCUCACAAAAAAUGGUGUGUCCAUGUGUACCUGGGGAGUAGAGCUCAACUGUUGUACUCUGCACUAGAGCAGAGCUGGAGCU